rnacentral:rRNA from 1 species
AACGAACGCUGGCGGCAGGCUUAACACAUGCAAGUCGAACGCCCCGCAAGGGGAGUGGCAGACGGGUGAGUAACGCGUGGGAACGUGCCUUUUGGUUCGGAACAACUUCGGGAAACUGGAGCUAAUACCGAAUGUGCCCUUCGGGGGAAAGAUUUAUCGCCAAAAGAUCGGCCCGCGUCAGAUUAGCUAGUUGGUGGGGUAAUGGCCUACUAAGGCGACGAUCUGUAGCUGGUCUGAGAGGAUGAUCAGCCACACUGGGACUGAGACACGGCCCAGACUCCUACGGGAGGCAGCAGUGGGGAAUCUUGGACAAUGGGCGCAAGCCUGAUCCAGCCAUGCCGCGUGAAUGAUGAAGGCCUUAGGGUUGUAAAAUUCUUUCGUCGGGGACGGAUAAUGACGGUACCCGAAGAAGAAGCUCCGGCUAAACUUCGUGCCAGCAGCCGCGGUAAU